ACGCACGCUGGCGGCGUGCCUAAUACAUGCAAGUCGAACGCUUCUUUCCUCCCGAGUGCUUGCACUCAAUUGGAAAGAGGAGUGGCGGACGGGUGAGUAACACGUGGGUAACCUACCCAUCAGAGGGGGAUAACACUUGGAAACAGGUGCUAAUACCGCAUAACAGUUUAUGCCGCAUGGCAUAAGAGUGAAAGGCGCUUUCGGGUGUCGCUGAUGGAUGGACCCGCGGUGCAUUAGCUAGUUGGUGAGGUAACGGCUCACCAAGGCCACGAUGCAUAGCCGACCUGAGAGGGUGAUCGGCCACACUGGGACUGAGACACGGCCCAGACUCCUACGGGAGGCAGCAGUAGGGAAUCUUCGGCAAUGGACGAAAGUCUGACCGAGCAACGCCGCGUGAGUGAAGAAGGUUUUCGGAUCGUAAAACUCUGUUGUUAGAGAAGAACAAGGACGUUAGUAACUGAACGUCCCCUGACGGUAUCUAACCAGAAAGCCACGGCUAACUACGUG
rnacentral:rRNA from 1 species